AUACUUGCUUUCCUACCAGGCCUGUGUCUGGUGACUUCUAGCUAAGCCUGUUCAUAUUAAUUUCUUACCUCUCCACAGAAAUGAAGAAAUUGAAAUUUAGAAAAUUAAAGUAUCUUGCUAGUUGCUAAGCUUGUAAAUUCUAUAAUUUUGUUUAAUUCACUUGCAUUGUCUUGCAAGUAUCAUUCCCCUUGGUCUAUAGCCUGUGUGAAUAUUCUCUGCUGCGGUACUGGGACGGCAUCCCUGGAUGAGAUGUGGGGAGUAGACAGUCCUAUGUGACACUUGAGAGCCUGGUUGUGUUCAGUGGCUGUAAUAGAAAGAAUGGACUCUGGCAGCAGCUCUUCUGGGUGACUGAAGAUACUCCUCCAGAAAUUCCAAGUGAAGUCUUGAUCUCACCUCUGCCAGUUGCUGCCUGAUCUGCUGCCAUUUAGAAGCAAGUGGGAAUGGGCACGGCUGGGAGAGUUAAAAGGCUGAGACAGCCUUCAGUGCAUCUGAUCUAUAAUUCAUCACACUCACAAGAGGCUUUUAGGGCUAGUUAAGAGAAUGUAGUUGAGCUUAGACAAAGUAUAAAAAUGCACCUCUGGCUGCUGCUGCCACAGCCUGUAAAUGUGGUCAGAUGAUGGUCAGACCCAGGGGAUGGAGAAACACUCGAUACUUGUUGGUGUAGGAACUUCAGUCCCAAUACUUGUGGGGAACCUGUGAGUGUACAGCUCUGGAUCUCUCUUGUGACCUCUUUGUUCGAAGUCACUGGAGUGGAAGCAUGUUCUGAAUGUAGGCACUUGAGGGACAAGGACAUUUGGAUUUCUGAAUUUUCUGAUUUUUGUAAUGAUAGUUUUCUGAGACAUAGAAGAUAAAACUUAGUGUCCCCCUUUCUUCCUAGUUACUGCUUUACUUUGAAAUGAUUUGUUUUUGGGAAGGUUGUUUUUUUUUUUUUCCUAACUGUUGUUAGCUAGCUGAGACUAGCUCUGUGCCUGGGGAUGAGCAGUGGCCUGUCUUUGCUGUCUUUGGAGCUGCAUGUAGUACAGUUGUUUCCCAGUGGGUCUUUACUGAGAGAUCAGUAGGUGAUCAUGAAAGGCUCAAUUGGGGACUUGGAGACCGUCUCAGACUAAUUUGGAACACCUGGCUCUGGCUCGUCUUGUGAAUUUGGGGAGAGCAUAUUAUGGAAAGACAAAUUGGAAUAGGGUCUGGCAUUGUGGCACAACCUUUCUUCUGGUUCUGGAGCUAAAGCAUUUUCCUUCAUAAAAGUUUUUCCCUCAGAAAUAAAUAUAUGUGGCUGGUCCAUGACCGUACCACCUUUACCAUGUCUGAUCUUGGAAGCUGCGUGUGAUCUGGCUUGGUUAACACUUGCACAGGAGAAAUGUCUCUUUAGCAGAUUGACAAGGGCCCUCUGGAAGUAUGGGCUGCAGUAUGACCCAGCCCCACUGGUUUGGAAGUUGGCUAGCGUAGCCAUGUGACCUCAUGCUUUCAAGAUGGGUGAAAGGCCAGUCACUUUUCAUCUGGCCAGAACAAUGCAUGUAUGUGGCUUUGGGUUCAGGUCCCUAGAAACAACAAAAAUAUAAGAAUAUCAAAAGUGAUAACUGGCCAGGCAGGUGGGAGGCAGAGACAGGUGGAUCUGAGUUCAAGGCCAGCCUGGUUUGCAGAGUAAGUUCCAGAAUAGCCAGGGCCACACAGAGAAACUCUGUCUCAAAAAGCAAACUCAAAAGAAUGGUAACUAAGGAAACUACAGCCUGAAUUUGGUAAGGCCAGUUCUAGAAAUGUUAAAAAACAGGUGUACUUUUGUACUUGGCUUUUUUAAGACAUUGAACAUGUUUGCCAAGUCCUUUCACUGAAACCACAUGUAGUUUUUGGAGAAAAAUGUUCCUUUGUCCAGGUAAAUAUUUUAAUUUGGACAUUAUUUCAAAAUGUAUUUAGUUCAAAAGACAGCUUAGGUGAAAUUUAAGCAUCUGGUUUGAUCACAUUUAUAACUGGGGGGUAGGGAUUGGAAAGGGCCUGGCUUUGUAGUUCAUUGAUCUUGAAUUUUCUACCUCCUGCCUCAGCCCCAUGACUGCUGGGAUCCCAAGGAUGUGCUGCUAUACCCAGUUUCUAAUUUGACAUCAACAGAGAAAGGGGGCUUUUCAAUUGUAUGUGUGAUAGAGGCUGUGGCAAAGUCUUGAAGGGAUCAAAACUGGGCAAGGCAUUUUCAAACCUGCAACAGAAAGAAGACAUAUUGGAGAGCAAUCUUAACAAUCAUCAACAGCACCUUCAGCGCCAUUGCUGAGCUUCUGUGAGACCUGUAGUAUGGCAGCAGACUCUGUGGGUACUGGAUAAAGACUUCAAGCUGGACAUAAUCAGCCCUGGAGGCUGGGGUUCCAGGCCAGCCUGGGCUACAGAGAGACCCUGUCUGGAGAAAAUAAAGCAAGGGGCCCAGCCAGAUGGCUCAGUGGGAUCUUCUGAAGUUGGGAAAGGAGGAGUACAGAACCUAUAGUUCCCUGAGCUUUCCAGAACUCCAUGGAGACGCAAUUCUCACAUGGGAAAGGAAUGUAUCCACACUGCCAUCUAUGUCUGAGACUGAACACAAGGUCAAAAUGUAGCUAUUUCAGUCCCUGUAAACAAGGAAGAGGUUUAGCGAGGAAUGGAGUUCAAACCUUGGAAUGUGUUAACAAGGACGUUUAAACAGAAUCCAAAGACAUCCGGGAACACAGUGCCAUGGAGGGGCAGUGGGUUGGGCUGGAUGACUAGGGGCUGAUUCUAUUCACAACUGGGGAAGGAGGCCCAGAACAACAUUUAAGUGGAGUCUCACAAAAAAAAAAAAAAAAACUACUGGUGACAGACAGCCUGAUGGACAACCUGAGCUUGAGGCAGCUCCUGAAAGUUGUCCUGGCUUCUUCGAUGUGUCCUCUAUGCACGUGUGUGAACAUGUGCAGUCAUGCACAACACAGUUUAAAAAGCGGGGAAAACUCAAAAGUUCCUUGUGUUGAGUAAGUGGCAGUACUACAUUGGAAGGCAUGGGAGACUGUGUAUGCAAUCACAAAGCAUCUGAUCAGCUGGCUUUCAUAUGUAAGGUCACUAGGGCAUGUUGUUGACUCACAGGUGGAAGGUACUUAAAGUGGAACAACCAUUUGGACUUCUGUCUUGCUAAGCUACACUCUACCUGGCCAGGCUCCAGGUAAAUUUUCUCUCCAAGAAACAACUGUUUUGGCCACCCAGCUGCAUACAUGUGGCCUAAUCUCCCCUGAAAACUUAACUUUAACCUCUAAUAUUCAUUUUUGCCAAGUCAGGUAAGAAAUUUUCCUCUGCUACCCUGACUCCAUUAGACAUUAAUUUUUAUACUGGUCAGCUUAAUCAGGUACUAAUAUAAGUGAAUAUUUAAAACA